rnacentral:rRNA from 1 species
AGCAGCCGCGGUAAUUCCAGCUCCAAUAGCGUAUAUUAAAGUUGUUGCAGUUAAAAAGCUCGUAGUUGAAUUUCGGGAUCAAUAUAUCGGUCGUGCCUUGGUACGUACUGGUAUCAUUGGUUUCUCCUUUCUGACGAACCAUGAUGUCAUUAAUUUGGUGUUAUGGGAAGUUAGGACUGUUACUUUGAAAAAAUUAGAGUGUUUAAAGCAGGCUUUAGCUUGAAUACAUUAGCAUGGAAUAAUGAAAUAGGACGUUCGAACCUAUUUUGUUGGUUUCUAGGAUCAACGUAAUGAUUAAUAGGGAUAGUUGGGGGCAUUAGUAUUCAAUUGUCAGAGGUGAAAUUCUUGGAUUUAUUGAAGACUAACUACUGCGAAAGCAUUUGCCAAGGAUGUUUUCAUUAAUCAAGAACGAAAGUUAGGGGAUCGAAGACGAUCAGAUACCGUCGUAGUCUUAACCAUAAACUAUAGCCGACUAGGGAUCGGAUGAUGUUAAUUUUUAAUGACUCAUUCGGCGCCUUAC